GAAAUGCGAUAAGUAAUGUGAAUUGCAGAAUUCAGUGAAUCAUCGAAUCUUUGAACGCACCUUGCGCUCCUUGGUAUUCCUUGGAGCAUGCCUGUUUGAGUAUCAUGAAAUCUUCAAAGUAAAUCUUUUGUUAACUCAAUUGGUUUCUACUUUGGUAUUGGAGGUCUUUGCAGCUUCACACCUGCUCCUCUUUGUUCAUUAGCUGGAUCUCAGUGUUAUGCUUGGUUCCACUCGGCGUGAUAAGUUAUCUAUCGCUGAGGACACUGUAAAAGGUGGCCAAGGUAAAUGCAGAUGAACCGCUUCUAAUAGUCCAUUGACUUGGACAAUACUUUUAUGAUCUGAUCUCAAAUCAGGUAGGACUACCCGCUAAACUUAAGC
rnacentral:misc_RNA from 1 species